AACGCACGAGACCUGCGGACCUGCGGAAGGAUCAUUAAAGUAUUAUUGGGGUUCUUUAUGAGCCUAACAAUCUGACUUUGUGGUAAUAAUGAAAAAUAGGAUUUGGGUUUAAAGAUGAUGCCUUCUAAAGAAAUUUAGAGGUAUCGACCCAAACUUUUUUAUCAACUCUUUUUACUAUUUGACUGAAUUUAUCAAGUAAUCCAAUUUUCUUUGGGUUAAAAAAGUUUUAAAUAACUUUCA
rnacentral:misc_RNA from 1 species